CCGUAACAAUUACUACGGUUCAAGAUUCUUUAAUUGUACAUACAAAGUACAACACGUACUUAAAUGCAUCCUGAACCACUCUUUUUUUUGACUGUGCAAGUUAAAAAUCCAAUUAUGUAAACUAGUUAAAGUGCAAAAAACUCAAAUGCAAGCUAAAAAUGCAAGCAGAGACGUAUGUUCAAAAUGAACGGUAACAUCGAUAUUAAAAAAGUGACCAGUGUGACAGUGCGGAUAUGGUGAUGGGUACAAGAGCAGAGUGUACAUCAGGGUGUGAGGUGCAGUGACAUGUCCAGGUUCAGAAGCCUUAUGGCCUGGGGGUACAAGAGCACAGUGUACAUCAGGGUGUGAGGUGCAGUGACAUGUCCAGGUUCAGAAGCCUUAUGGCCUGGGGGUACAAGAGCACAGUGUACAUCAGGGUGUGAGGUGCAGUGACAUGUCCAGGUUCAGAAGCCUUAUGGCCUGGGGGUACAAGAGCACAGUGUACAUCAGGGUGUGAGGUGCAGUGACAUGUCCAGGUUCAGAAGCCUUAUGGCCUGGGGGUAGAAACGCCUCCUAAGCCUCUCAGUCCUGGCCAUGAUGUUCCAGAGUCUCUCUCCUGAUUUCAGAAGCUAAAACAGGCUGUUAUUGGGGUGGGAUGUGUCCUUCAUGAUCCUGAAGGCCCUGCUGCUACAUUUCUUGAUGUGAAUGUCCUGAAGAGAUGGAAGUUCUGCUGCACGGAUCACCCUCUGGAGCGCUUUUCGAUCCUGAACGUAGCUAUUCCCGAACCAGGAAGUAAUGUUCCGAGUCAGGAUGCUCUCCUCAGCGCCUGAGUAGAAAGUCCGUAGGAUCAUUGGAGGGACCCUGAACUUCCUCAGCUGUCACAGGUGGUACAGGUGCUGCUUAGCCCUUUUGGACUGGACCUGGAUGUGAACAGCCCACGUCAGGUCCUCAGAAAUGUGGACACCCAGAUAUUUAAAACUCCUCAACUUCUCCACAGGAGAUCCAUUGAUGGUGAGGGUAGUGUAGGCCCUCUGUUGCCUCCUACUGAAGUCCACCACCAGCUCCUUUGUCUUGUCGACAUUCAGC